GAUGAGAACGUAGCGAAAUGCGAUAAGUAAUGUGAAUUGCAGAAUUCAGUGAAUCAUCGAAUCUUUGAACGCACAUUGCGCCCUCUGGUAUUCCGGGGGGCAUGCCUGUUCGAGCGUCAUUAUAACCACUCAAGCUCUCGCUUGGUAUUGGGGUUCGCGGUUCCGCGGCCCCUAAAAUCAGUGGCGGUGCCUGUCGGCUCUACGCGUAGUAAUACUCCUCGCGAUUGAGUCCGGUAGGUCUACUUGCCAGCAACCCCCAAUUUUUACAGGUUGACCUCGGAUCAGGUAGGGAUACCCGCUGAACUUAAGCAUAUCAAUAAGCGGAGGA
rnacentral:misc_RNA from 1 species